ensembl:lncRNA
CAUUAAACCCAAAAUCAACCUGAACAAUGACUGUAAGCCCAAAACCUUUCUUCUGUAGGAAAGGCUUUUACAAACAAAAUAAUAUUGACACCACAAAUCCCUCUUGAAGCCCUCGUCUUUCACCGUCUCUUCAUUGUUGUCGCACUCAGCGCCGCGCGCUCGCUCCCUAACCUGAUUGUUUGCCCUCGCAUCACGCCGAAAAUGCCCAGAGGGCCGCCUGUCGAAGACAGAGCUCGCGGGCCCAAACCCCGACGCCGCAGCCAUCACCACUGGGUCAUCACACGCCGGAUCUCCACACAUGCACCGAGAGGGAAGCGCCCACCCUUUGCCCAGAGGAGGGUCUCACUCACACACACACACACACACACACACACACACACUCACUCGCGUGAUCGUGAAUAUGACGACAUGAAGGAAGAGUGAGGUUGUUUUCAGAGUGUGCCCUCAUCUAACACAGGGAACGCCCAGUGUGAAAAAGUAAUCCCAUCUCACGCCCGUCAUUUAACAUUCCCGAAACUAAUCCACCUGCGAUGUUUUGUGUUGCAAUAAAAUGUACUGUAUGUGUCUCUCCAACAGUCAAAUGCCAAUCGGCGCACAGACGGGUGUGGUGCAGCAUACUUUCCAAUUCUGCCUUUUCCAGUUUGCAAACGGGACACAACGAGGGCGCACGCGCCGAAGCAGUGACGGCUGAUGAGAAAAACAGGCGUAGCUACGAGGGAAACAGAGGAAAGGGGAAAAACCGGCAUCCACUGCAGUAGCUAGCGAGCUAAUGGGCUAAUAAAGUCCAAGUAUAGACUGACUAUACUUUGGCUGCAGUGGUAAGCAGCAAUGGAAGGCACAAGAAGCUAAUGGCUAGUUGAGUAAAAGCCACAGAGGAAUGAACCAUGGUGAGAGUGUGUGUGUGUGUGUGUGUGAGAGAGUGUGAGUCCGGCCUGGCUUCUCUGUCCACAGCUGGCGCUACCCGUGAUCAGUGACGUCAUUCUGUGUGUGUUCUUGUACGUGAGGUUCGGUGGCAUUUUUUAGGUUUACGGAGCCGGGGUGUG